CUCUGACCUCUGACCCCGGGACGCCCCCGCCGCAUGUGUUUUGGUUGUAAUUAGGGCGGCCGGUGCACCUGAUGUUGACCUGGGUCUCGCUGCGGGACGAUUGGCGUCACAGAAGGACGGAUGCUGGCUUUAUGUGCGGUGCUGUAAUUGCUUGUACUGUUGCACACAGAAAAUCACACAAUUACAGCAUCCAAGCGUGAUUUUGAGAUUUUCCGGAGAACAUGUGAGUGUGAAUAACAUCAGCUAUAUGUCGAGACGGUGCGAUCGCUGAGUGAGUGUCGUAAUGGCCCACGCUAGCGGUUUUUAGGAGAACCGACCCAGGAAUGUAGGACAGCGAGAAGUGCUCUGUUAUCUGUCAGCGGUUCUGCGGGCCAUCGCUGAGGAGCAAUCAUGAACACAAUCAUCUACAUAAACACACAGCAAACAUCUGUGACGUGACUGUUUGUGUCAGCUGGUCUUCUCCUCUGUGUGACUGGAGUUCAUACGGAUAAACUUUUUAUGUUAUGGCAAAUAAAUUACUGUUAUUCAGUAUUUUAAUUCAUGAUAAACUAAUAAUGUCUUAGUAUUACGAACACAUCAGUUCUUCAUUAAAAUAUAGAUCAGAUAUGGUCAUAAAUCUAAAAAUAAUAAGAUUAGUUAGCUUAUGAAAUAAACUGUAUUUUGAUUAGAGUAAAACGUUGUGAAAAAUUGCACUGAUCUGAAAAAAUCUGAAAAAGUAGAAAACGAAAAAAAAACUGGAAUAAAAGAG
ensembl:lncRNA